GAGAGUGAGGGAGAGUUAGUUCAAGGGAGAGAAGUUCCAAAGUGCUGUCACUGUAGGAUCGUUUGGGUCGAGUUUCCGCCGGGUAGCUGUAGGAGUUUGAGUGGUUCUUGCUUAAGCUAGGCCAAUGUGAGUUUCAAUGCAUGUGAUAUGACACAUGAUAGGAUUUUUGUGUUGGUUGUUCGCUUGAGAGGUGUGAGUGUUGUUGCAUGUGUGCUUAAGAGGUGUGAGUGUUGUUGCAUGUGUGUUUGGGGUGAGUGUUAAGCGCUUUUUCCUUCGAAUUUGCGCUAUAAUGGCUAAAUCCUUAAGUCUUUGAGCUAAACUUAAGUGUUUGAGUGUGUUGGUGCGAGAGUGAGGUGUGUGUUUAAUCUCGAUUUUUAUCGAUAUUUUCCUAAGUUUAAAGUGAGGUUUUGGUGCGUGUUUUGGUUGAGUUUUCUUAAGUCUGUGUGAUAGACUUAAGUGCUUAGUUUUGUUUCUUAGUAUCUAGAUCGAUCUCUAGAUAGCAAAGUCUCAUUUAUUGUGUGAUUGUUUGUGAGUUCAGGGAGCAUUGAUCCGAUCUAGUUCGAAGUUGGGAGUCUCGUUCUAGAUUUGGUUUGCAUGUGCAUUUAGAUUUCAUCUUCUCGAUUUUCUUGAUAGAUUUUCUUAAAGUUUUGCAUCUAAAUUUGUUUGGUGAAGUGUUUUGGUGAAUUCCAUGGUUGAUCAUGAACGUGAUCGCUGAUUCGUUUAUUUGAUCUAUUGCAUGUGAGAUUAAGUAUUGAUACUUGUUGUUUUAUGUGUUCUUAAGACCAUACACUUAAGUAUCAACUGUUGGAUGGUCUUAGUGCGUGGUGUUUGUGACGGGAGGUCUAACUGACUAGCCAUAAGCGCACUAAGAAUUGGGAUGUGGCUGACCUUCCUUGGGAUCCAUUACAACAUGCAGCCUUGACUUGGUACUUGUGUUGCAUGUUGUUGCGAAGAGCUCGGUGGACUUGGUUUGCUACCUUGGCCGAGGCUGUCUACAUGACGGUGUAGUUUAUGUGUUGUACCGGUUGCAUGCCUUUGUGGUUGCAACGCGGGUGUAAAAAUGUAGUGGGAUGGAAGGCAGCAUAUAUGGAGGUGUUGUAUCGGUUGCAUGCCUUUGUGGUUGUAAUGUGGAUGUUCACAGGGAAGUGGGUGAAGUGGUGUUUUGUGGUUGAGGUGAAGGGCCCUUGCACAUGUGAAGGUAACCUUAGUCGGGAAAACCUUAGAGGGAGCAAAAGGACAUUAGGCCAACCGGUGUAGAAUUGUAUUGUCUUUGUAAGAUCAUUUUGUAAUGUUUAUUUUAAACUCAUUUUGGCUCUAGGCCUGGUACCAAAAACGUUGUGUAUGUUUUGGAAACGUGUUUUGUGAAAUAAAUAAAGUAUGGAAGUGUUUUAUUAAA